AUGUCUGCUGCAUCGGGCUAUGUUGCUGUCCCUCGCUGUCCGGUGAUCUUCGAUGGUACUAACUACACCGAGUUCGCUGGCUUCAUGCGCAUUCACAUGCGUGGCAUCCGUCUCUGGGGUGUUCUUUCUGGCGAGGUCUGCUGUCCGCCACGUCCGGUUCCUCCGGUGGCCCCUACUCCGCCGACUCCACUGGUUCUUCCUACGGAUGCUAAUCAGGCCGCCAAGGAUGCGGCUAAGAUUGCUGAUGAGGCUGCUGAUCGUGCCUAUGAUGAGAGGGUUUUGGCUUAUGAGGAGGCUCUUCAGACGUAUCAUGGUGCUUUGUCUGUUUACACCCAGUGGCUUGACGAUGAUGCUCGUGCUGCAGCUGUUCUCACUGCUAGUGUUCUGCCUCAGUUUGCUUCUGAGUUUCUGGGUCUUCCUACUGUCUUCCAGAUGUGGACCUGUCUUCGUCAGCGCUAUGAGCCCUCUGGUGAUGCCCUAUACCUUUCUGUGGUUCGUCAGGAGCAUGCUCUUCAGCAGGGUGACUCUACUGUUGAUGACUUUUAUGCACAGAGUUCUGCUAUCUGGCGCCAGCUUGAUUCUCUCCGCAGUGCUGGUUGUCGUACUUGCCCCUGCUGCCAGGCUAUCCAGGCCGAUUUCGAGUUUCAUCGCGUCUACGAGUUCCUGUCUCGGCUCCGUAAGGAGUUUGAGCCCCGGCGUGCUCAGUUGUUUGCUCGUGGCCGUAUUUCUCUCAUGGAGGCGCUUUCAGAGAUUCGUGCUGAGGAGACUCGCCUACGUGGUGCUGGUUUGCUGGAGGUGCCCUCUGUGCUCGCUACUCGGGCUUCUUCCACUCCACCUGCUGCACCGCCCCAUUCUCGCUCGAGUGCUCCGCCGCUCUUGCCCACUCCUUCUGGAGGCUCAGGUCGCCCCCGUCCACACUGUGACUACUGCAACAAUGGUCAUAUUGAGUCCCAGUGCUACACAAAGCGGAAACACCUGCGCAAGGCGCGAUCCUCCUCCUCAGGGACUUCAUCUCCCUCGCCAGCUUCAGCCAUUGCUUUGACUGAGCAGGAUAUUCUGAGACUUAAGCGUCUGCUCGCGGCUUCAGGUUCUUCCUCGACGGGUACUGCUGGUUCUGUGACUGAUGCUUCUCGCACUGAGCACCCGCCCUCUACACAGUCAGGAUCGUCGCACGCACACUCUGGUUGGGGCUGGCCCUCGCCGCCGUGA
rnacentral:rRNA from 1 species